rnacentral:rRNA from 1 species
GAGUAAAGAUUUCGGUCGCUUUGGGAGGAGCUCGCUUACUAUCAGCUUGUUGGUAGGGUAAUGGCCUACCAAGGCUAUGACGGUUAGGGGGUGUGAGAGCAUGACCCCCAGCAUUGGCACUGAAACACUGGCCAAACACCUACGGGUGGCUGCAGUCGAGAAUCUUCCACAAUGGGGGAAACCCUGAUGGAGCGAUGCUGCGUGCGGGAUGAAGGCCUUCGGGUUGUAAACCGCUUUUGUAGGGGACGAAAUUUUUGACGGUACCCUUUCGAAUAAGAGGUUGCUAACUCUGUGCCAGCAGCAGCGGUAAUACAGAGACCUCAAGCGUUAUCCGGAUUUACUGGGCGUAAAGCGUCUGUAGGGGGUUUAUUAAGUUCCAAGUAAAAUUUCAAGGCUCAACUUUGAAUUCGCUUGGAAAACUAAUAAACUGGAGUCUAGCAGAGGUGCAUGGAACUUGUGGUGUAGGAGUGAAAUCCGUUGAUAUCACAAGGAACACCAAAGGCGAAGGCAUUGCACUGGGCUAGCACUGACCCUGAGAGACGAAAGCGUGGGGAGCAAAACGGAUUAGAUACCCGUGUAGUCCACGCCCUAAACGAUGAAUGCUAAAUGUUCGGGGAUUCGACCCCCUGGGUGUUACAGCUAACGCGUUAAGCAUUCCGCCUGGGAAGUACGGCCGCAAGGCUAAAACUCAAAGGAAUAGACGGGGAUCCGCACAAGCGGUGGAGCGUCUGGUUUAAUUCGACAGUAAGCGUGGUACCUCACCAGGGUUUGACAUCCCUUGACAGCCUUGGAAACAAGGUUUCCUUCGGGCAAGGUGACAGGUGCUGCAUGGUCGUCGUCAGUUCGUGCCGUGAGGUGUUCCGUUAAGUCGGGAAACGAACGAAACCCCUAUUGCAUGUUACAAUUUCUCAUGCAAGACUGCCCGGAUAUACUGGGAGGAAGGUGGGGAUGACGUCAGAUCUGCAUGGUCCUUAUACCCUGGGCGACACAGGCGCUACAAUGGCAGAGACAAAGGGUUGCAAAACCGCAAGGUGAAGCUAAUCCCAAAGACUUUGUCUAAGUUCGGAUUGAAGGCUGCAAUUCGCCUUCAUGAAGCUGGAAUCGCUAGUAAUCGUGAAUCAGCCACGUCACGGUGAAUAUGUUCCCGGAUCUUGUACUCACCGCCCGUCACACCAAGAGAGU